AUUGAACGCUGGCGGCAUGCUUUACACAUGCAAGUCGAACGGCAGCGGGGAGGAGCUUGCUUCUUUGCCGGCGCGUGGCGCGCGGGUGUGUAAUGUAUCGGACCGUGUCGAGAGGAGGGGGAUAACUACCCGAACGGGUGGCUAUUACCGCAUAAAUUCUGAAGAAGAAAGCUGGGGACCUAGGGAUAGGCCUACCGCUUUUUGAACGGGCGAUGUCGGAUUAGCUAGUUGGUGAGGUAAAGGCUCACCAAGGCGAAGAUCUGUAGCGGGUCUGAGAGGAUGAUCCGCCACACUGGGACUGAGACACGGUCCAGACUCCUACGGGAGGCAGCAGUGGGGAAUUUUGGACAAUGGGCGCAAGCCUGAUCCAGCCAUGCCGCGUGUAUGAAGAAGGCCUUAGGGUUGUAAAGUACUUUUGUUAGGGAAGAAAAGACAGCUGUGAAUAAUGGCUGAUACUGACGGUACCUAAAGAAUAAGCACCGGCUAACUACGUG
rnacentral:rRNA from 1 species